rnacentral:lncRNA from 1 species
CCUUGCACCGUACCUUUGUAGGAUAUUUUUUGAAACAAUAUUUAGAUUUUAAAUUUACAGAAUAGUAUUGAAAUUUAAACGACAUAAUGCAGCCGUCAAUGCGAAGAGAGGAACACGCUGUUGAUAUUUAUCACCGUCAAAGCGUCGUUCACUAAAAAAUAGUUUGCAAGAAUAAGUGUGUAUAAUUGAUUCACGCUCGGGCUCAGGUAUUUAGAUCUAGUUCGAUAGAACUUCACUGCGAAUGGAUGGAUAUUCAUGAAUUUUGCCGAAUACAAGGGAAGUGUUAUAGGACCACCUUGUAUGAGUCUUAUUGCUAGGACAAGCAAAUAGGUUUACAAAUCAAGGUGUUCAGAUUUGCUGCUCUUUUCACAUUAGCGAUCUUCUGCGAUACGUUCUGUGAUGCACUUUAUCAUUCAUGAACGGAACUACGUUGGUCUGUGACAGCUGCCGUCGUCGAUAGAAGAACGGGAUCGGAGAGGGAUUGCUGUUGGAAUGCGCGCGACUGGAGGCAGGCUAGAUUUACGGACGAACCGCAAUGAGGUUUAGAGCCGCUUUCUGCACAAUUCAGAGAUGAAAGACAAACUUCCAUCCCCCCCACACCACCCCGCAUCCGGUCCGAGUUCCAAGCCUUAAAUUGAAAAAGUUCGGCGAGAGAACUCUACGACGUCACGACAGUGGAAUCGAAGUACACGAAAAGUGUACAAAAUCUACGUGCUUCAGGCCAACUCCCUUUCAACUGUAUUGUAAUCGGUCGUUUUGGACACAGUAGAAGACUAUGUUCCUAGUUCUGGCGAGAGAACGCUGCGCCAGGAAGAACAAGGAGAACGCAAGCCAUACAAGUUGUUGUUUGAAACUGAAUUAUUCUGUUCGCUGGCCCAUCGUACAUUUACCACUCUAGACAAGUACGAUGAGAUCUUGUGCCGAUCACUACAACGAUGCCAACGGCAGUUGGAGGCAUAGUACGAGCAGCAGCAGCAGAAGUCAGUGAUUCGUUUUUUUAUAUCUGCGUUUGUCGUUCCGCUAUUGCCGAAGAAGCCUCAGGGUCAUCUACCGUUGUGAGUAAGACAGUACAGAAACAAACCUGAUAGAAGUAAGCUGGAAAAUGUGCGCUAACAAUAAGUAAAUAAAACUUUAUUUUGUCCGUGGAAGAAGGACAGAAAACGAUUGCCUCACAGAACAGCAAUUAAAACUCUUCGUAGGUGAAAAUGCCUUAUUCACACUUCACGCUAAGCCAAACAUCUUCGCUUCAAGAUUUUUUUUGUCGUUCUUCAACAUCACUACCGAGC